rnacentral:lncRNA from 1 species
AUGGGUCCCCAAUGUCCCCCACUGUCACUUGGGGGUCCCCCACUGUCACUUAUGGGUCCCCCAAUGCCACUUGGGGGUCCCCAGUGCCUCCCACUGUCACUUAUGGGUCCCCAAUGUCACUUGGGGGUCACCCACUGUCACUUAUGCGUCCCCCAAUGUCACUUAUGGGUCCCUCACGUCCCCCCAUGUCACUUAUGGGUCCCCAUUAUUCCCCACUGUCACUUAGGGGUCCCCAGUGCCCCCCAAUGUCCCCUAGGGGUCCCCGAAGUCACUUAUGGGUCCCCAUUGUCCCCCAAUGUCACUUUGGGGUCCCCCAUUGUCACUUAUGGGUCCCCAGUGUCACUUACGGGUCCCCAUUAUCCCCCAGUGUCACUUAUGGGUCUCCCAUUGUCCCCCAGUAUGCUCCAGUGUCACUUAUGGGUCCCCAAUGUCACUUGGGGGUCCCGAAUGUCCCCCAGUGUCCCCUUGUGUCACUUGUGGGUCCCCAAUGUCCCUCACUGUCACUUAUGGGUCCCCAAUGUCACUUGGGGGGCCCCCACUGUCACUUAUGGGUCCCCCAAUGUCACUUAUGGGUCCCCCACUGUCACUUAUGGGUCCCCCACUGUCACUUGGGGGGCCCCCACUGUCACUUAUGGGUCCCCAAUGUCACUUAUGGGUCCUCAAUGUCCCCCCACUGUCACUUAUGGGUCCCCAAUGUCACUUAGGGGUCCCCAAUCUCCCCCAGUGUCACUUAUGGGUCCCCCAAUGACACUUAUGGGUCCCCAUUAUCCCCCAAUGUCACUUAUGGGUCCCCAAUGUCACUUAUGGGUCCCCAAUUGUCCCCCAGUGUCACUUAUGGGUCCCCCAGUGUCACUUAUGGGUCCCCCAUUGUCCCCCACUGUCACUUGGGGGUCCCCCACUGUCACUUAUGGGGCCCCCAUUGUCCCCCAGUGUGCUCCAGUGUCACUUAUGGGUCCCCCACUGUCACUUAUGGGUCCCCAAUCUUCCCCACUGUCACUUAUGGGUCCCCAAUGUCACUUAUGGGUCCCCAACGCCACUUGGGGGUCCCCAACCCCCC